rnacentral:rRNA from 1 species
UACGUAUGGUGCAAGCGUUGUUCGGAAUCAUUGGGCGUAAAGGGUAUGUAGGCGGAUAUGUAAGUCAGAUGUGAAAACUACGAGCUCAACUCGUAGCCUGCAUUUGAUACUGUGUAUCUAGAAUUUGGGAGAGGCAAGGGGAAUUCCUGGUGUAGCGGUGAAAUGCGUAGAUAUCAGGAGGAACACCGGUGGCGUAAGCGCCUUGCUGGCCUAAAAUUGACGCUGAGAUACGAAAGUGUGGGGAGUGAACGGG